rnacentral:rRNA from 1 species
CCUACGGGGGGCUGCAGUGGGGAAUAUUGGACAAUGGGCGAAAGCCUGAUCCAGCCAUGCCGCGUGUGUGAAGAAGGCCUUCGGGUUGUAAAGCACUUUCAGUGGGGAAGAAAGCCUUGGGGCUAAUACCCUCGAGGAAGGACAUCACCCACAGAAGAAGCACCGGCUAACUCCGUGCCAGCAGCCGCGGUAAUACGGAGGGUGCGAGCGUUAAUCGGAAUUACUGGGCGUAAAGCGCGCGUAGGCGGUCUGAUAAGCCGGUUGUGAAAGCCCCGGGCUCAACCUGGGAACGGCAUCCGGAACUGUCAGGCUAGAGUGCAGGAGAGGAAGGUAGAAUUCCCGGUGUAGCGGUGAAAUGCGUAGAGAUCGGGAGGAAUACCAGUGGCGAAGGCGGCCUUAUGGACUGACACUGACGCUGAGGUGCGAAAGCGUGGGUAGCAAACAGGAUUAGAUACCCGAGUAGUC